rnacentral:misc_RNA from 1 species
CAAAAACCCUUCAGCAGACUUUUGUUUGUUAGGUAUUGAGCAUGGAGGAAAAGAACUUUAAGGUUCUGCUCCAGCUUUAAACUUGCUGCACGACCGCAAGCUAUUGCUAGGUCUAUGGAAGUGGUAUUUACAUAUUUUUCCAAUAAGAUUGAGCUAGCUUUGCGGCGUUAAACCAAUGUUGCCCACUAAAGCAACUGAA